AACGAACGCUGGCGGCAUGCCUAACACAUGCAAGUCGAACGAGACCUUCGGGUCUAGUGGCGCACGGGUGCGUAACGCGUGGGAACCUGCCCUUAGGUUCGGAAUAACUCCCCGAAAGGGGUGCUAAUACCGGAUAAUGUCUUCGGACCAAAGAUUUAUCGCCUUUGGAUGGGCCCGCGUUGGAUUAGCUAGUUGGUAGGGUAAAAGCCUACCAUGGCGACGAUCCAUAGCUGGUCUGAGAGGAUGAUCAUCCACACUGGGACUGAGACACGGCCCAGACUCCGACGGGAGGCAGCAGUGGGGAAUAUUGGACGAUGGGCGAAAGCCUGAUCCAGCAAUGCCGCGUGAGUGAUGAAGGCCUUAGGGUUGUAAAGCUCUUUUACCCGGGAUGAUAAUGACAGUACCGGGAGAAUAAGCUCCGGCUAACUCCGUG
rnacentral:rRNA from 1 species